GGUUGGUGUCCUGCAAACUCCGAGCAAGAGGCCCAUCCAUUCCAUCCUCCGCGAACCCAAGCCCAGGAUUCUCUACCUUUCAACUAUUAAAUGCUUUGCUCUGCUUCCAAACUUUGUAUUAAAUGCAGCAGCUGGAAAAAUCCACCCACCAAAAAAAUCUCCCCUAAUCCUUGCCCUUUCUCCUUCAGAUGGAUUCCUUCAAUACCUCUUUAACCCCAAAUGUCCACCGCCACCACCGCUACUCCUCCCUCCACUUACCUCACCAAUCUCGGUCUUGGCUACUCAAUAGCCAUAGCCCUUGGUUUCCUCGUCCUCUUAUCCACUAUCCUCCUCGCCUUCUACGUCUGCUGUCGCAACUCUCGCAACCGCUCCCGCAAUAUAAACAAUAACGACAACGACAACCCAAAUUUUCCCUCCGAUGGCAUAAUACUCCCUCGCAUUAUCUUCGUGGCAGAAGAAGAGGAUGACCUGGAACGUGACCAAGAAAGUUCAGCGGUUGGCCUCGACCAGGCGGUAAUAAAUUCAUAUCCUAAAUUUCAGUUCACUAAAGAUGGGAGUUUGGAUGGGAAUAGUACUACUUGUUCGAUCUGUUUGUGCGAGUACAAGGAUUUGGAGAUGUUAAGAAUGAUGCCGGAGUGCAGGCAUUAUUUUCACUUAUGUUGUAUCGAUGCUUGGUUGAAGCUGAAUGGGUCGUGUCCUGUUUGUCGGAAUUCACCGCUUCCAACUCCGCUUUCUACACCCUUAUCGGAGGUCGUGCCGUUGUCCCAGUACGCGGAGGAUCGAAGGAGGAGGAGGUGAUUUGAGUUUGUUUGAUUGUUUGUGAACUGGUGGUGAGUGAUUCGGGGAUCUUGAUUGGUGUGUUUUGGGAUUAGGAUUGUAAAUUGUUUUUUCUUUUUUUGGUUUCUGAGUAGGCAUAGCUAGUGGGAUUUUGGAUUUUCAUUUUUGUUACAGAUGAUUUGUGAUUUUGGUUUGCCAUGGCAGAGAAUGGAAAAACAGAAUACUUGCUGAUCUUUGUAGUGUAAGAAUUGGGUUUUACUGUUUCAUUACAUUGAGGUGAACUAAACAAUUCCCCCCUAUAGUUUUUUUUUUUUUUUUC
rnacentral:misc_RNA from 1 species